rnacentral:rRNA from 1 species
GCGGCGUGCUUAACACAUGCAAGUCGAACGGAAAGGCCCUGCUUUUGUGGGGUGCUCGAGUGGCGAACGGGUGAGUAACACGUGAGUAACCUGCCCUUGACUUUGGGAUAACUUCAGGAAACUGGGGCUAAUACCGGAUAGGAGCUCCUGCUGCAUGGUGGGGGUUGGAAAGUUUCGGCGGUUGGGGAUGGACUCGCGGCUUAUCAGCUUGUUGGUGGGGUAGUGGCUUACCAAGGCUUUGAUGGGUAGCCGGCCUGAGAGGGUGACCGGCCACAUUGGGACUGAGAUACGGCCCAGACUCCUACGGGAGGCAGCAGUGGGGAAUAUUGCACAAUGGGCGGAAGCCUGAUGCAGCAACGCCGCGUGCGGGAUGACGGCCUUCGGGUUGUAAACCGCUUUCGCCUGUGACGAAGCGUGAGUGACGGUAAUGGGUAAAGAAGCACCGGCUAACUACGUGCCAGCAGCCGCGGUGAUACGUAGGGUGCGAGCGUUGUCCGGAUUUAUUGGGCGUAAAGGGCUCGUAGGUGGUUGAUCGCGUCGGAAGUGUAAUCUUGGGGCUUAACCCUGAGCGUGCUUUCGAUACGGGUUGACUUGAGGAAGGUAGGGGAGAAUGGAAUUCCUGGUGGAGCGGUGGAAUGCGCAGAUAUCAGGAGGAACACCAGUGGCGAAGGCGGUUCUCUGGGCCUUUCCUGACGCUGAGGAGCGAAAGCGUGGGGAGCGAACAGGCUUAGAUACCCUGGUAGUCCACGCUGUAAACGGUGGGUACUAGGUGUGGGGUCCAUUCCACGGGUUCCGUGCCGUAGCUAACGCUUUAAGUACCCCGCCUGGGGAGUACGGCCGCAAGGCUAAAACUCAAAGGAAUUGACGGGGCCCCGCACAAGCGGCGGAGCAUGCGGAUUAAUUCGAUGCAACGCGUAGAACCUUACCUGGGUUUGACAUGGAUCGGGAGUGCUCAGAGAUGGGUGUGCCUCUUUUGGGGUCGGUUCACAGGUGGUGCAUGGCUGUCGUCAGCUCGUGUCGUGAGAUGUUGGGUUAAGUCCCGCAACGAGCGCAACCCUUGUUCACUGUUGCCAGCACGUUAUGGUGGGGACUCAGUGGAGACCGCCGGGGUCAACUCGGAGGAAGGUGGGGAUGACGUCAAGUCAUCAUGCCCCUUAUGUCCAGGGCUUCACGCAUGCUACAAUGGCUGGUACAGAGAGUGGCGAGCCUGUGAGGGUGAGCGAAUCUCGGAAAGCCGGUCUCAGUUCGGAUUGGGGUCUGCAACUCGACCUCAUGAAGUCGGAGUCGCUAGUAAUCGCAGAUCAGCAACGCUGCGGUGAAUACGUUCCCGGGGCUUGUACACACCGCCCGUCAAGUCAUGAAAGUUGGUAACACCCGAAGCCGGUGGCCUAACCGUUGUGGGGGAGCCGUCGAAGGUGGGACUGGUGAUUAGGACU